AUGCAAUGCACUGUGGAAUUUUUUUACAGGAGCAGAUAAACCGCAUAUUCACAGGAUGCAUUCAUGUCAUAUAGCAGAAAUAACAACAACCCGAGCAAAUUUGCAACACUUGUUGCAUCUAACCAAUAAAUUCCUAUGACUAGAUUCAACUUUAUUUUUGUUGCAUCCAGUUUAAAAGUAUUGAGAUGACAAAAUGCAGUUUAGCAUCUAACCAGAAGUGCAAAAAAGCAGUAAAAUGCAGAGAAUAAUAAAUACUAUGGGUAGUAAUUUAAUUCCAAACACCUUAUUUAUCCUGUGGGGCAAUUAGCAGAGGCACAUAGCAGAAUAAAACAGCAAAUAAAAGUAAAAAAUACAAGUGUGAGCCGUACACAUUGUUACACCACAAUAACAAUGACAUGAGAAUGACAAUAUUAGUGCAAAAACAGCUGUACACAAUAUUAAUGAUAUUGAUAUGAGAAUGGCGAUGUUAGUGCAAGUAUUAUGCAGUAAACACAAACAGCCAGGAGUUUAUAUACUGUAUAUAUAUACAAUAUAUAUACAGUAUAUAAACUCACUUUGAGCUCAAAUGUAGGUUGUUGACUUGAUAAUCAAUCGGCCACAAUGGAUUCACCAUUUUAAUAAACUAAUUUUAUGGAACAAAAAGCUCCAAAACAUAACCCUUUGGAUCAAGCACUUGAUAAAUGUAACUAUUUGCUGGUUUUCUUAGUUUUCUAUGACAGUAAACUGUAUUUCUUUGGGUUUUAACUG